UACAGAGGUCUCAAGCGUUGUUCGGAUUCAUUGGGCGUAAAGGGUGCGUAGGCGGCGAGGCAAGUCAGGUGUGAAAUCUCGGGGCUCAACUCCGAAACUGCAUUUGAUACUGCCUUGCUAGAGUACUGGAGAGGAGAUUGGAAUUUACGGUGUAGCAGUGAAAUGCGUAGAUAUCGUAAGGAAGACCAGUGGCGAAGGCGAAUCUCUGGACAGUUACUGACGCUGAGGCACGAAGGCCAGGGGAGCAAACGGG
rnacentral:rRNA from 1 species